rnacentral:rRNA from 1 species
UUAAUGGCGAAUGAACAGGGAUGAGCUCAGGCUGGAAACCGAUACAUCUGUGUCGGGCUGUAGCCUGCAGGCAUAGCGCUAUCGGCGGCUCGAGCGCAAGCCUCUUGGAAUAGAGCGUGUGCCCGGGUGAGAAUCCUGCAUUUCGCUCGAUGUCCGCUGUCCACAGUGCUUGUCCUGAGAGUCACGCUCCUCGGAAUUGGAGCGUAAAUCAGGUGGUAAGUUUCAUCCAAAGCUAAAUAGAAGCUCGAGACCAAUAGCAAACAAGUACCAUGAGGGAAAGAUGAAAAGGACUUUGGAAAGAGAGUUAAAAGUGUUUGAAAUUGCUGAGAGCGAAGCGAACGGAGCCACGUGUCGUGCUGAGAUUGCUGUGGGUCUUUGUGAGCCUUGAGCAUGUAAGCGCAAGCUGACUGCUUAUGUGUGAGCAUUUACCCGCAGUGUUUCUCAGCAUGCGAGUCAUUAGCCACAUUUGUUUGAGGAUGGCCUUCAGCUCACAUGGUACACUUGUUAGUGUUCCUCUGUGCGGUGUGGGACUCAGACAGGUGUGGCUUGUUGACCCAGUGGUUUUUUUCGACCCGUCUUGAAACACGGACCAAGG